rnacentral:rRNA from 1 species
AAUCCAUAGGUUAAUGAGGCGAACCGGGGGAACUGAAACAUCUAAGUACCCCGAGGAAAAGAAAUCAACCGAGAUUCCCCCAGUAGCGGCGAGCGAACGGGGAGGAGCCCAGAGCCUGAAUCAGCAUGUGUGUUAGUGGAAGCGUCUGGAAAGGCGCGCGAUACAGGGUGACAGCCCCGUACACAAAAGCGCAUGUGCUGUGAGCUCGAUGAGUAGGGCGGGACACGUGGUAUCCUGUCUGAAUAUGGGGGGACCAUCCUCCAAGGCUAAAUACUCCUGACUGACCGAUAGUGAACCAGUACCGUGAGGGAAAGGCGAAAAGAACCCCGGCGAGGGGAGUGAAAAAGAACCUGAAACCGUGUACGUACAAGCAGUGGGAGCCCCACCACCAAAGCGUUUCGCUUUGUGUGGUGCACAAAGAAGCGUAACGACAGCACUGAAUGACGGUUAACGGAGCGCAAGCGACGUUCAACAUACAAAGUCAAGCAGUGGAGCGCUUUGGGGUGGGGUGACUGCGUACCUUUUGUAUAAUGGGUCAGCGACUUAUAUUCUGUAGCAAGGUUAACCGAAUAGGGGAGCCGGAGGGAAACCGAGUCUUAACCGGGCGUUAAGUUGCAGGGUAUAGACCCGAAACCCGGUGAUCUAGCCAUGGGCAGGUUGAAGGUUGGGUAACACUAACUGGAGGACCGAACCGACUAAUGUUGAAAAAUUAGCGGAUGACCUGUGGCUGGGGGUGAAAGGCCAAUCAAACCGGGAGAUAGCUGGUUCUCCCCGAAAGCUAUUUAGGUAGCGCCUCGUGAAUUCAUCUCCGGGGGUAGAGCACUGUUUCGGCUAGGGGGCCAUCCCGGCUUACCAACCCGAUGCAAACUGCGAAUACCGGAGAAUGUUAUCACGGGAGACACACGGCGGGUGCUAACGUCCGUCGUGAAGAGGGAAACAACCCAGACCGCCAGCUAAGGUCCCAAAGUCAUGGUUAAGUGGGAAACGAUGUGGGAAGGCCCAGACAGCCAGGAUGUUGGCUUAGAAGCAGCCAUCAUUUAAAGAAAGCGUAAUAGCUCACUGGUCGAGUCGGCCUGCGCGGAAGAUGUAACGGGGCUAAACCAUGCACCGAAGCUGCGGCAGCGACGCUUAUGCGUUGUUGGGUAGGGGAGCGUUCUGUAAGCCUG